GAUGAACGCUGGCGGCGUGCCUAAUACAUGCAAGUCGAGCGAACAGACGAGGAGCUUGCUCCUCUGGCGUUAGCGGCGGACGGGUGAGUAACACGUGGAUAACUUACCUAUAAGACUGGGAUAACUUCGGGAAACCGGAGCUAAUACCGGAUAAUAUAUUGAACCGCAUGGUUCAAUAGUGAAAGACGGUUUUGCUGUCACUUAUAGAUGGAUCCGCGCCGCAUUAGCUAGUUGGUAAGGUAACGGCUUACCAAGGCAACGAUGCGUAGCCGACCUGAGAGGGUGAUCGGCCACACUGGAACUGAGACACGGUCCAGACUCCUACGGGAGGCAGCAGUAGGGAAUCUUCCGCAAUGGGCGAAAGCCUGACGGAGCAACGCCGCGUGAGUGAUGAAGGUCUUCGGAUCGUAAAACUCUGUUAUUAGGGAAGAACAAAUGUGUAAGUAACUAUGCACGUCUUGACGGUACCUAAUCAGAAAGCCACGGCUAACUACGUG
rnacentral:rRNA from 1 species